GAUGAACGCUAGCGGGAGGCUUAACACAUGCAAGUCGAGGGGCAGCACGGGUAGCAAUACCUGGUGGCGACCGGCAGACGGGUGAGUAACGCGUAUGUAACCUACCCUGUACAGGGGGAUAACCCGGAGAAAUUCGGAUUAAUACCCCAUAAAGAUAUUUAGAGGCAUCUUUGAAUAUUUAAAGCUUCGGCGGUACGGGAUGGGCAUGCGUGACAUUAGCUAGUUGGUAGGGUAACGGCCUACCAAGGCUUCGAUGUCUAGGGGUCCUGAGAGGGUGAUCCCCCACACUGGUACUGAGACACGGACCAGACUCCUACGGGGUGGUCUCG
rnacentral:rRNA from 1 species